UUGACUCUUCGUCCACGCACGCCGCGCCGAUCCCCUCCUUUCUCGGCGCUCCGCCGGCGAGUCGGCCACGGCCUUGUCCGCCUCCUUUGCGCCCCCGCCCCCUCCUCCCGCCCUCUCUCUGCCUUCCAUGGCGGCGCAUCCCGCCCGCGCCCGCCGUCCCCUGCCCCCCUUGCGUGGCGAGCGCCGCCACCUCUCCUUCUCUGCCCCCGAGCACGUGGCGGCAGCCCUCGGCGACCAGGCGGGGAGGCCUUCUGUUCCUCACAAAGCCACUGUCUCCUUCGCCUCGACUAGCGGCUCCCUCCUCGAAUCCUCUGAGACUCUGAGUCUCUGACGACCCACUGGCCUGCAUCGGCCGGUAUCCGAGUCGAAGCGCAUGCUGCGGCGGCUGCUCAGCGCGGCGGAGGUGGAACUUCGUCAUUAGGAGCGAGCGUGCUUGCGCAGCGCCCGGAGGACGUCUCCGUGAAGCUGUUGCCGAAGGGGCUUGUGCUGCCGUAGGGGUGCCCAAGCCCUCCUUCUAGACUCUCUGGUCUGGCUUCUGCUUCUGUGGCAACAAAUCCACUCAGAUCACUCUUAGUUACAUAUACGUAAGAAAUUUCGACCGUGUGCUGAAUUAGUGAAAUUCAAGAUAAAUGCAAGAUCUGAGUUAGCACCAGCAGGCAGGCAGCUUUUAUCCCUCACACAAAUAAAGUACACACGGCAUGUCAACAAGAUCUUGGACACAUUCAUCACAGGAAAUGGUCUGAACUCUGAACCCUGAGACUGCAAGCAACCGACAUGCCACAAGCUGGAAAGACCUGAUCAUACGAGGUAACGAAAGAGGGAGAGAGAUAAAUCUUGGGCAUUAAUUAACUAACUUGGUCUUGUGUGGAUAAUGUAGUACCUGAAGUAGUACCAGACUGUAAUUUACCAACUGAAUACGAACUUUCCCUCCGUGCAGUCCAGACCUUGUUCCUUCCUUCUAUCUAGUUCCAGAAUCAAGCCGGCGGCUAUAUCUUUUUAUUAUUGCACUCAAGAAGGUCCAUAAAGUUACGUCGUAGAUCAUGAAUCUCAAGGAUACAGGAGGUAAGACAUUUUCAUUUGAGAAGACUUUAGCAUUGCGAGCAGUCCAAAUUCUCCAGAGAAUAAUCGGAAGAACCGAAGGCCUUAGAAUUCAUGGUAAUUGGAGUGGAGGAACAAUCGUCCGUAGGGAGCUGAACCUGAAAUUGGGAUCAUGUAUGACGUACUCAUGUAUAUAUGUUUACAUGCAUGUUACUAAAUCAUUCGAUGUUCAAAGAGUGGGGUAGGAUGGUUGGGAUGA